CGACACAGCUGACUCAUGAAGAGCAAAGUCACCUCCCUUGCAUAAUGCUCACAAACUGCUUACUGAGAAGUCUGACACAGUGAAGCCGCAGGAGGAGGCGGUGGUUAUUACCCUUACAGGAACCACCACGAUCCAGCCUGUACAUUCUGGUGGUUGUCAUGGCAACAGGGCAGCAUCCGUCUCCAUCUUUUGUCCAGUGUCUCCCCUGUCGUUUUCAGCUUCCCAGGCAGGAGGGGGCUUGGACGACUUUUGCAAAUGGAGCCCCGUAAUUGGCCUCGAAGCGAGAAAGUGGUGGAUGGCUUUCACACGUUGUAAGGAGGUGGCAAACUCCCCACAUCCUGAGAUGGCUUUACAAAUUUCUAGUGGAUGUAGGAGGAAGAGAACACCAAGUGUAGAGCUAAAUUUCCUAGCUAAAGAUCCAUACAUUUCUGUGUAACUAUAUGUUUUUUGACAUGUUCUGACUAUCCAGGUGUCUAAAGGGAUAUAAAAAAAAUAUUGGCACAGGUGGGGUGUUGGGGAAAAGUACAUGGUGUUCCUGUUUGCGUCUGUUAAUGGAGGUUUUUACGAGGAAUUCUUGGCUUCGACCCAGGGCGGAUCAGUUGGGUUCCCCUGUAACUGUGUGGCAGUCAGUGAAUGAGGUUUUGGGGUUUAGGGCGAAAUGAGUGCACAUAUGUACGACGUACUGUAAAACAUAACCCCCACUAUUCCUCCACUAAUGUCUUGCUACUCUGCACAGCAUCUACGCUAUGAAUGUAGGCAGCAAAAUAGCUAUUAUUGUGCCAGAUCAUCCCCAAUUACUUAGCAAUUUUGUUUGUUCCAUACAUUAUGGCAUAGUACAUUCAUAACACAUUUUAAGCAAAUGUUUUUUCUCCCCCCAAGCUAUGCAUUCUGUGACCCCCGCAGAUGUUUGCACGAAACAAAGUUUAAAGGGGGUUUCAGAUUUUGCACAAAAACAAAAAUCAAAACAAAGGCCACACGUGUUGGCUCCAGGUCAAGCAACAUCCCCUGAAACAGGCUUCAACCUGCUCUCAGCUUUAUGAUUGGUUAACUUGUUCCUGGCAGAGCCAAUCAGUGAGCUGACUAAUGUUCUGUUGUGAGGGCAGCUGGGAUGUAGGGGAAAGGUCUCAAAGCAAACGUUGUUACCCUUCCCCCUGCAAGUAGGGAGAGGACAGCACAAGUAAAUGUUUACGUCCUGUGAAAAUGGAGAUGUGUGCUUCCUGUGACAUGUGGUUACAAUGUUUUUCUGUCUGUGGGAAAACAAAGAAUUCCUUCACCGCGUUUAUAUGUGUGCAGUUCUGACUCUGAACUCUCAGUGACUCUUUUUGAGCUGCAAAGUUUGGUCACAAGCAUCACAUGCAGGCACUUUAAAUGUGCAGCUUAAGUAUUAAAGAAAUCCUUAGAUCCACAUUUAUACAGUUAUACUUUGCUAUCAUUCAGCUCAACGAGACAGACUGCACAGCGGUCACCGAGGUCUGAUCUGCUGCUUUUCUGAUUCUGUUUUUUGGUAAAUAACAGGCUCGAGACAAAGCAGGUCUAGUUCACAGCCACAACAAUCUGCAGCGCUGUGUAGUUGUUUACGACUCAGCACUUCUGGGAACACUGGCCUCGGGCUGUUGCAGUGAAGGAGUCUGAUAAGUGUCUCGCGAGUACACCAGUUUCCAGUUACUUCCCACACGGCCCUAAAAAAAACCACACUCCUGUUGAGCUCCUGCCAAGACGUAGAAAAAAAAGAGACAGCAGCCGCAGCCUGAGAUCCUUUUAUGAGAGUCACCUUUGUGUACCCUGCGCUUUACUUCUCCUGUGUGCAGUUCAUAUUAAAAUGCUGAGUCAUCGGCUGUUUAAAUGUGAAACAGUUACGUUAACUUGUACGAAAAUUUGCAUCGCAGUAUUACUGAUUGUCUGCUGCUGUCAUUUUCAUUUGAACGGUAACUCCCCGAGUGUGGAGGUUUAUGAAUCAUUCAGUCUAAAACUAAUGGUUUCACUUUGCAUUUUUGAAAAAUAACUUUUGUUGAGUUAGAUGAGAAAAAAUAUCAAUACAACUCAUCUGUGCAUUAGACACAAGGCUACAGCCGGCAGCCGAUUGGCUUCAUGUAGCUUCAGUAGAAGCAGUCAGCCUGGCUCCUUCCAUCUACCAAUGUAUUAAUUAGUGAGCUUUAGAGGCCGUUGUUCAGAUCCAGGCUUGCCUUUCGUGUUUCCACUGUGCUAAACUAACUGGCUUACAGCCGUGGCCUUGUAUCUAACCAUACAGGCAUGACAGUAGCAUUAUCUCAUGUAACUCCUGUGAGAUGGCAAAUAAAAAAAAAAGCAUAUUUUCCAAACAUGUAGACCCAUUCUUUUAAUCUUUUUCUCUAAAGUCAUGAGUCACACAGCCAUGUUGUGAUAAAAAUAAAAGUUUUUAAAUGUAUCAAUAAAAAACACCGGGUUCAGUAAACUUGACGUUUUACCAAAUCGAGUGCAUUACAAUAUCUCAGUUAACAAAAGGAUAAAACUCCUUGAGGAAAUCUACAAAUGGCAUUAUGGACAGAUCCACCACAUUUUAACAACAUACGUCUGGGUAUAGACAUCUACAAAGUGUACCUACAAGUUGUCAAAAUCAAGUGUGUGCCAAAAUCUGACGACAUCAAACGUUGCCAUUUAAAAAUAGACACUUCAUAAAAGUCAAAGAAUUAGUAACAUUGAAGACUGGACAGUUGAAAGGCAGGUCAACA